rnacentral:rRNA from 1 species
AGAACGAACGCUGGCGGCAUGCCUAAUACAUGCAAGUCGAACGAACACUUCGGUGUUAGUGGCGCACGGGUGCGUAACGCGUGGGAAUCUGCCCUUGGGUUCGGAAUAACAGUUGGAAACGACUGCUAAUACCGGAUGAUAUCGAAAGAUCAAAGAUUUAUCGCCCAGGGAUGAGCCCGCGUAGGAUUAGCUAGUUGGUGAGGUAAAGGCUCACCAAGGCGACGAUCCUUAGCUGGUCUGAGAGGAUGAUCAGCC